GUUCCGCUGCUUUUGACCCGUCUUGGUGGCGAUGCGCAGCUGUGCAGUGUGGUGCUUCUGCGUUCCGCUGCUUUUGACCCGUCUUGGUGGCGAUGCGCAGCUGUGCAGUGUGGUGCUUCUGCGUUCCGCUGCUUUUGAUCCGUCUUGGUGGCGAUGCGCAGUUGUGCAGUGUGGUGCUUCUGCGUUCCGCUGCUUUUGACCCGUCUUGGUGGCGAUGCGCAGCUGUGCAGUGUGGUGCUUCUGCGUUCCGCUGCUUUUGACCCGUCUUGGUGGCGAUGCGCAGUUGUGCAGUGUGGUGCUUCUGCGUUCCGCUGCUUUUGACCCGUCUUGGUGGCGAUGCGCAGCUGUGCAGUGUGGUGGUUCUGCGUUCCGCUGCUUUUGACCCGUCUUGGUGGCGAUGCGCAGCAGUGCAGUGUGGUGCUUCUGCGUUCCGCUGCUUUUGACCCGUCUUGGUGGCGAUGCGCAGCUGUGCAGUGUGGUGCUUCUGCGUUCCGCUGCUUUUGACCCGUCUUGGUGGCGAUGCGCAGCAGUGCAGUGUGGUGCUUCUGCGUUCCGCUGCUUUUGACCCGUCUUGGUGGCGAUGCGCAGCAGUGCAGUGUGGUGGUUCUGCGUUCCGCUGCUUUUGACCCGUCUUGGUGGCGAUGCGCAGCAGUGCAGUGUGGUGGUUCUGCGUUCCGCUGCUUUUGACCCGUCUUGGUGGCGAUGCGCAGCUGUGCAGUGUGGUGCUUCUGCGUUCUGCUGCUUUUGACCCGUCUUGGUGGCGAUGCGCAGCAGUGCAGUGUGGUGCUUCUGCGUUCCGCUGCUUUUGACCCGUCUUGGUGGCGAUGCGCAGCUGUGCAGUGUGGUGCUUCUGCGUUCCGCUGCUUUUGACCCGUCUUGGUGGCGAUGCGCAGCAGUGCAGUGUGGUGCUUCUGCGUUCUGCUGCUUUUGACCCGUCUUGGUGGCGAUGCGCAGCUGUGCAGUGUGGUGCUUCUGCGUUCCGCUGCUUUUGACCCGUCUUGGUGGCGAUGCGCAGCUGUGCAGUGUGGUGCUUCUGCGUUCCGCUGCUUUUGACCCGUCUUGGUGGCGAUGCGCAGCUGUGCAGUGUGGUGCUUCUGCGUUCCGCUGCUUUUGACCCGUCUUGGUGGCGAUGCGCAGCUGUGCAGUGUGGUGCUUCUGCGUUCCGCUGCUUUUGAUCCGUCUUGGUGGCGAUGCGCAGUUGUGCAGUGUGGUGCUUCUGCGUUCCGCUGCUUUUGACCCGUCUUGGUGGCGAUGCGCAGCUGUGCAGUGUGGUGCUUCUGCGUUCCGCUGCUUUUGACCCGUCUUGGUAGAGAUGCGCAGCUGUGCAGUGUGGUGCUUCUGCGUUCCGCUGCUUUUGACCCGUCUUGGUGGCGAUGCGCAGCUGUGCAGUGUGGUGCUUCUGC
rnacentral:rRNA from 1 species